GUGCAGCAGGCGAGAAUAUUCGGCAAUGGGCGAAAGCCUGACCGAGCGACGCCGCGUGCGGGAUGAAGGCCUUCGGGUUGUAAACCGCUUUUCUAAGGGAAAAAAUUGUGUCUCACUGUUGUUUGGAGAAAAAAUAAUAAGAAUAAGAUGGAUGGCCGUAGAGUUCCGUGACUUCCGCAGGUUUUCAUAAAAAUACCAAAUUACAGUGAGGCACAAAUUGAUGGUACCUUAGGAAUAAGAGGUUGCUAACUCCGUGCCAGCAGCAGCGGUAAUACGGAGACCUCAAGCGUUAUCCGGAUUUAUUGGGCGUAAAGGGUGUGUAGGCGGAUGUGAUAGUCAGAUGUUAAAUAUGGAGCUCAACUCCAUAGCCGCAUUUUGAAACGU
rnacentral:rRNA from 1 species